UACGGGGGGGGCAAGCGUUGUUCGGAAUUACUGGGCGUAAAGGGCUCGUAGGCGGCCAACUAAGUCCGACGUGAAAUCCCAAGGCUUAACCUUGGAACUGCGUCGGAUACUGGAUGGCUUGAAUUCGGGAGAGGGAUGCAGAAUUCCAGGUGUAGCGGUGAAAUGCGUAGAUAUCUGGAGGAAUACCGGUGGCGAAGGCGGCAUCCUGGACCGACAUUGACGCUGAGGCGCGAAAGCUAGGGGAGCGAACGGG
rnacentral:rRNA from 1 species